UAAUACGUAGGGUGCGAGCGUUAAUCGGAAUUACUGGGCGUAAAGCGUGCGCAGGCGGUUUGUUAAGAUAGGCGUGAAAUCCCCGGGCUCAACCUGGGAACUGCGUUUAUGACUGGCAGGCUAGAGUAUGGCAGAGGGGGGUGGAAUUCCACGUGUAGCAGUGAAAUGCGUAGAGAUGUGGAGGAACACCGAUGGCGAAGGCAGCCCCCUGGGCCAAUACUGACGCUCAUGCACGAAAGCGUGGUAGCAAACAGGAUUAGAUACCCUGGUAGUCCACGCCCUAAACGAUGUCAACUAGGUGUUGGGUGGGUAAAACCAUUUAGUACCGGAGCUAACGCGUGAAGUUGACCGCCUGGGGAGUACGGCCGCAAGGUUAAAACUCAAAGGAAUUGACGGGGACCCGCACAAGCGGUGGAUGAUGUGGAUUAAUUCGAUGCAACGCGAAAAAACCCUUACCUACCCUUGACAUGUCCGGAAGCCCUUAGAGAUUUGGGUGUGCUCGAAAGAGAGCCGG
rnacentral:rRNA from 1 species